rnacentral:lncRNA from 1 species
CGGGUGUUGGUUCGGAAUUUUGGAAAACAAGAUUUUUCGUGUUUUAGUCAUCUGGUUUUUCCUUCUUCGCGAGAGGGCCUCGCUUUGCUAUGAAGUGGGAUCAGAUGGGUCAUCACGUUUGCGUAGGGUAGGCAGUGUCUGGACCGUUUUGGCAUGGUCAUUGCAUUCACGAAGCUAUCUCGCCUUCGAGAAGGGUAAUUACCUGAACAGUGAAUUAAAACCCCAAACUUGAGUUUUAUUUCCCAUUCACCAUUUUAGAAGCUAGAGAGCUCCAAAGAAUCAAAGUUCCAAGAUCAAGUUUCUUCACUGUGGUAAGAUCUUAAUCUUCCUCUAAUCAUUUUUCAUUAAUUUCUUCUUUUAGAUUAAAUUUGAAUUCAUAAUUUCUAGAGUAGAAAUUGGGGAGUUUUCUAUAGAAAUGGGUUUAAAGAAUUUAUAAAAUUGAGGGUUAAAUGGGAUUGGAACUCGAUGAUUUUUGGGAUUUAGACUAUCUAAGUUUUAGGUAAGAUGAUUCUAGGCUUAAAUUCCAAACCUUGUGGGGUGGGGGUUACCUUUUUGGGUCUAUGAUUGGGUACGAACUAAUACUUAGAACAUGGGUAUUGUUGGGUUCAUACAAUCGUAUAGAUUACUAAUUUGACCAUAUUGAACCCAGAUUUGUGUUAAAUUACUGUGUUUACCCUUGGGGUUUGGGACGGAGUUUUAGGUUGUUUUUUGGAUCCGAAUUCUUUUAUAUAGAAACAUAGGUAUCCAUAGCUUUGUAUUCUGAUCUAGAACGUAUAUUUGAACAUAGUGGACUCGUUUGGAGGCUC